UACGGAGGGAGCUAGCGUUGUUCGGAAUUACUGGGCGUAAAGCGCACGUAGGCGGCUUUGUAAGUUAGAGGUGAAAGCCCGGGGCUCAACUCCGGAACUGCCUUUAAAACUGCAUCGCUUGAAUCCAGGAGAGGUGAGUGGAAUUCCGAGUGUAGAGGUGAAAUUCGUAGAUAUUCGGAAGAACACCAGUGGCGAAGGCGGCUCACUGGACUGGUAUUGACGCUGAGGCGCGAAAGCGUGGGGAGCAAACAGG
rnacentral:rRNA from 1 species